rnacentral:misc_RNA from 1 species
UUUCCGUAGGUGAACCUGCGGAAGGAUCAUUACAGAGUUCAUGCCCUCACGGGUAGAUCUCCCACCCUUGAAUAUUUAUACCUUAGUUGCUUUGGCAGGCCGUGGAAACACCAUGGGCUCCGGCUUAUGCGUGCCUGCCAGAGGAAACAAACUCUGUUUUUAGUGAUGUCUGAGUACUAUAUAAUAGUUAAAACUUUCAACAACGGAUCUCUUGGUUCUG